rnacentral:misc_RNA from 1 species
GAUGAAGAACGUAGUGAAAUGCGAUAAGUAAUGUGAAUUGCAGAAUUCAGUGAAUCAUCGAAUCUUUGAACGCACCUUGCACCCUUUGGCAUUCCGAAGGGUAUGCUCGUUUGAGUGUCAUUGUACUCUCACUCUCCCGAUCUUUGGAUCGGGAGUGGUGGACUUGGGUGUUGCUGCUUUACCGUGGCUCACCUCAAGUGGAUUCGUGCAACUCCUGGUUGGACAUAGUACGGCGUGAUAAGUGUCUUCGCCGGCACCUCACUAGAGGGUGGCUGACCGGGAGCUCUGUGCUUCAAACCGUCUUCGGACAACAACUGACAACUUGACCUCAAAUCGAGUAGACCACCCGCUGAACUUAAGCAUAUCAAUAAGCGGAGGA